UACAGAGGUCUCAAGCGUUGUUCGGAUUCAUUGGGCGUAAAGGGUGCGUAGGUGGCGCGGUAAGUCGGGUGUGAAAUUUCGGAGCUUAACUCCGAAACUGCAUUCGAUACUGCCGUGCUUGAGGACUGGAGAGGAGACUGGAAUUUACGGUGUAGCAGUGAAAUGCGUAGAGAUCGUAAGGAAGACCAGUGGCGAAGGCGGCUUUCUGGACUCAUACUGACGCUGAGGCGCGAAAGCGUGGGGAGCAAACAGG
rnacentral:rRNA from 1 species